rnacentral:rRNA from 1 species
GACGAACGCUGGCGGCGUGCUUAACACAUGCAAGUCGAACGGAAAGGCCCUGCUUUUGUGGGGUGCUCGAGUGGCGAACGGGUGAGUAACACGUGAGUAACCUGCCCUUGACUUUGGGAUAACUUCAGGAAACUGGGGCUAAUACCGGAUAGGAGCUCCUGCUGCAUGGUGGGGGUUGGAAAGUUUCGGCGGUUGGGGAUGGACUCGCGGCUUAUCAGCUUGUUGGUGGGGUAGUGGCUUACCAAGGCUUUGACGGGUAGCCGGCCUGAGAGGGUGACCGGCCACAUUGGGACUGAGGUACGGCCCAGACUCCUACGGGAGGCAGCAGUGGGGAAAAUGGCACAAUGGGCGGAAGCCUGAUGAAGCAACGCCGCGUGCGGGAUGACGGCCUUCGGGUUGUAAACCGCUUUCGCCUGUGACGAAGCGUGAGUGACGGUAAUGGGUAAAGAAGCACCGGCUAACUACGUG